rnacentral:rRNA from 1 species
GCCUAACACAUGCAAGUCGAACGGAACUGUUUUGAAAGAUUUCUUCGGAAUGAAUUUGAUUUAGUUUAGUGGCGGACGGGUGAGUAACGCGUGAGUAACCUGCCUUCAAGAGGGGGAUAACAUUCUGAAAAGAAUGCUAAUACCGCAUGACAUAUUGGAACCACAUGGUUUUGAUAUCAAAGAUUUUAUCGCUUGAAGAUGGACUCGCGUCCGAUUAGUUAGUUGGUGAGGUAACGGCUCACCAAGACCGCGAUCGGUAGCCGGACUGGGGAGUUGAACGGCCACAUUGGGACUGAGACACGGCCCAGACUCCUACGGGAGGCAGCAGUGGGGGAUAUUGCGCAAUGGGGGCAACCCUGACGCAGCAACGCCGCGUGAAGGAUGAAGGUUUUCGGAUUGUAAACUUCUUUUAUUAAGGACGAAAAUUGACGGUACUUAAUGAAUAAGCUCCGGCUAACUACGUGCCAGCCGCCGCAGUAA